ACCUAACCCCAACCCAAACCCUACCCUAAACCCAAAUCUAACCCUAAACCCCAAAUCAUAACCUCAAACCCUACCAAGCCUAACCCUAAUCCUUUAAGAAAAGACCCACCAUCCCCCAAUUGAGUGUUGGACGACCAUAGUCUCUGUGCCUUUUCUCUCUCUCUCUCUCUCUCUCUCUCUCUCUCUUGCAGGGUGAGCUGAAUCGGCUUGACUGACAAAAACGAAGGAAAACCACCACCUCUAGCCAGAGAGCAGGAAAGCCAUCCCCCAGCGAGAGUAGGACGACUGUGGCAUGGUGCAGUGUUCCACCCAGCAACAAAAGACCCACCAUCCCCCAAUUGAGUGUUGGACAACCAUGGCCUCUGUGCCUCUCUCUCUCUCUCUCUCUCUCUCUCUCUCUCUCUCUCUCUCUCUCUCUCUCUGUCUCUCCCUCCCUUCCCCUCCUCUCUCUUUCUUGCAGGGUGAGCUGAAUCGGCUUGACUUUGACAAAAACGAAGGAAACCCACCACUCCUAAACAGAGAACAGGAAAGUCAUGCGCCGAGUGAGAGUUGGAGCAGUGGGCCUCGACGAGGCUUGUGCAGUGUUCCAAAGAGCAAGAAAAGACCCACCAUCCCCCAAGGUGAGCAUAAUCGGCUUGACUUUUACAAAAAUGGAGGAAACCCACCCCCCCUAGACAGAGAGCAGGAAAGCCAUCCCUUGAGAGAGUUGGAGGAGUGGGUCUCGACGAGGCUUGUGCAGUGUUCCAAAGAGCAAGAUAAGACCCACCAUCCCCCAAGGUGAGCUGAAUCGGCUUGACUUUGACAAAAAUGGAGGAAACCCACCACCCAUAGACAGAGAGCAGGAAAGCCAUCCCCCAGCGUGAGAGUUGGAGGAGUGGGCCUCGACGAGACUUGUGCAGUGUUCCAAAGAGCAAGAUAAGACCCACCAUCCCCCAAGUGAGUGUUGGAUGACCAGUGGCUCGCUUUCUCUUGAGAGUGAGGGGAAUCGGCUUGACUCUACAAAAAGAGGACAGACCCACCAUCCCCCAAGUGAGUGUUGGAACCACCAGUGACUCUUUGCCUUUUCUCUCUUUCUCUUUCUUCUCUCUCCUUCUUACAGGGUGAGCUGAAUCGGCUUGACUUUGACAAAAAUGGAGGAAACCCACCACCCAUAGACAGAGAGCAGGAAACCUAUCCCCCAGCGUGAGAGUUGGAGGAGUGGGCCUCGACGAGUCUUGUGCACUGUUCCAAACAGCAAGAUAAGACCCACCAUCCCCCAAGUGAGUGUUGAUGACCAGUGGCUCGCUUUCUCUUGAGAGUGAGGGGAAUCGGCUUGACUCUACAAAAAGAGGACAGACCCACCAUCCCCCAAGGUGAGCUGAAUCGGCUUGACUUUGACAAAAAUGAAGGAAACCCACCACCCCUAGACAGAGAGCAGGAAAGCCAUCCCCCAGCGUGAGAGUUGGAGGAGUGGGCCUCGACGAGUCUUGUGCACUGUUCCAAAGAGCAAGAUAAGACCCACCAUCCCCCAAGUGACUAUUGGUUGUACAGUGCCUCUCUUGAGAGUGAGGGGAAUCGGCUUGACUCUCUAAAAAAGGACAGACCCACCAUCCUCCAAGGUGAGCUGAAUUGGCUUGACUUUGACAAAAAUGGAGGAAACCCACCACCCCUAGACAGAGAGCAGGAAAGCCAUCCCCCAGCGUGAGAGUUGGAGGACUGGGCCUUGACGAGGCUUGUGCAGUGUUCCAAAGAGCAAGAUAAAACCCAGACCAGCGAAGUGUUGGAUGACCAGUGGCUCGCUUUCUCUUGAGAGUGAGGUGAAUCGGCUUGACUCUACAAAAAGAGGACAGACCCACCACCCCCCAGCCAGAGAGCGAGAAAGACCCACCGUCUUCCAAGUGAGUGUUGGAUGACCAGUGGCUCGCUUUCUCUUGAGAGUGAGGGGAAUCGGCUUGACUCUACAAAAAGAGGACAGACCCACCACCACCCCCAGUCAGAGAGCAAGAAAGACCUACCGUCACCCCCAGGUGAGCGUUGACUCAUAUACUCUUUCUCUAUUAACAAAUGGUUGCCAAUCUUGGUCUA